GUGAGGAAUAUUGGUCAAUGGGCGGAAGCCUGAACCAGCCAAGUCGCGUGAAGGAAGAAGGAUCUAUGGUUUGUAAACUUCUUUUGAAGGGGGAUAAAGUGCGUCACGAGUGGUGCAUUGCAGGUACCCUUGGAAUAAGCAUCGGCUAACUCCGUGCCAGCAGCCGCGGUAAUACGGAGGAUGCGAGCGUUAGUCGGAUUUAUUGGGUUUAAAGGGUGCGUAGGUGGUUUGAUAAGUCAGCGGUGAAAGUUUGCAGCUUAACUGUAAAAAUGCCGUUGAAACUGUCGGACUUGAGUGUAAAUGAGGUAGGCGGAAUGCGUGGUGUAGCGGUGAAAUGCAUAGAUAUCACGCAGAACUCCGAUUGCGAAGGCAGCUUACUAAGCUACAACUGACACUGAAGCACGAAAGCGUGGGGAUCAAACAGGAUUAGAAACCCUUGUAGUCC
rnacentral:rRNA from 1 species